UACGUAGGGGGCAAGCGUUGUCCGGAUUUAUUGGGCGUAAAGAGCUCGUAGGCGGCUCAGUAAGUCAGGUGUGAAACCUCCAGGCUCAACCUGGAGACGCCACCUGAUACUGCUGUGGCUAGAGUCCGGUAGGGGAGCGUGGAAUUCCUGGUGUAGCGGUGAAAUGCGCAGAUAUCAGGAGGAACACCAGCGGCGAAGGCGGCGCUCUGGGCCGGAACUGACGCUGAGGAGCGAAAGCGUGGGCAGCAAACAGG
rnacentral:rRNA from 1 species